rnacentral:rRNA from 1 species
AACGAACGCUGGCGGCGCGCUUAACACAUGCAAGUCGAGCGAGAACCAGUCCUUCGGGACUGGGGAAAGCGGCGAACGGGUGAGUAACACGUGGGUAAUCUGCCCUCGGCACUGGGAUAGCCCGGGGAAACCCGGAUUAAUACCGGAUAGCCUUUCGAGCCUUCGGGCUCGUCAGAAAAGGUGGCUUCGGCUUCCGGCUGAGGAUGAGCCCGCGGCGGAUUAGCUUGUUGGUGGGGUAAUGGCCUACCAAGGCGACGAUCCGUAGCUGGUCUGAGAGGACGAUCAGCCACACUGGGACUGAGACACGGCCCAGACUCCUACGGGAGGCAGCAGUGGGGAAUCUUGCGCAAUGGGCGAAAGCCUGACGCAGCGACGCCGCGUGCGGGAAGAAGGCCUUCGGGUUGUAAACCGCUUUCAGGAGGGACGAAGCCACUCGGGUUAAUAGCCCAGAGGGUGACGGUACCUCCAGAAGAAGCCCCGGCUAACUACGUGCCAGCCGCCGCGGUAAAAC